GUUAACAUCACAUCCGAAUCACAAGUAUAUCGAGACAGUUUCGGUUAUUUUAAUUUUCAUGUUAAGAUAAUUUCGACCUCCAAAAUUGAACAAACCCCAACACAAACCCGGACCAACACUGAAAACGGCCUCACUCCAUCUACCGUCGGCAAACUACUGAAACACCUGAAACAUUCCUCGCCACAAUUCACCGUUCAUAUUUAUGAAAAAAUAGCUACAAAUCAUGAAUUCGGAACAUAUAUAAGACGGAAAAUAGACUUUUCGCACAUAGAUAUGUAACUUAAAUAAAUUAAAUGCGAGGGGGAGGAUUAUUUUCCAAGGGUUUUGUAAUUCAAUAAAUUGCUCCCGCAGAAUGGAAAUAGGUACACACGCAAAAAUGAGGAAAAAUCAAUAAAAUCAAAAGUAUAAUCAACGACCCAAAAUCAGGACGUCAACGCAGACAGUUUUCGGACACAUUUUUCAUCGUAACACGCACACAAUGGACCGCCUCGUCAGACCCGACACGGACACUUGUUCAGAUCCGGCCGAUAACCAAGUUGAUGGAAACCGUCUCGAGCGGCGCGAAAACCAGGACCAGUUCAACGGCAUUCAAAUUAGGUUUCACGUUUCGUCAUCCAAAAUCAUCAUCGUCGAGCCUCUACUUCAACUCAGGGAUUAGUUAGUUAAUUAGUUAGUUUAUUCAUUCACAGAUUUUUUGCAUUUUACACACUUGUACUGUUUCAGAUAAAUUAUAAAAUUCAAUUUUAGCCUAAAAUACAAAUUCAGUAUUUGCAUGUUUUACAUAUAAAUACAUUUUUAAUAUUCAUUUCAACUAAAUCCAAUCUAGAGCUAUAAAAUAUGUAUUUGUUAUCAGCUUAACAAAUAGGCACAAUCAACACUGAUAUAAAUUAAAAAUAGCAAAAUCGUCAAAAUCCAACGCAACUUAGUAGAACUCUUUUCCAUUUACAGCCAAAAAAUAUUAUUUAAAAUUUAUGAAACCACAAAACUAUAUUUUAUUUAUUAAAUCUGGAUCAUGCUUCUUUAACAAUAAUUAGCAUUGAAAUCUUGC